UACAGAGGGGGCGAGCGUUGUUCGGAAUUACUGGGCGUAAAGGGCGCGUAGGCGGCCCGCUAAGUCGAACGUGAAAUCCCCAGGCUCAACCUGGGAACUGCGUCCGAUACUGGCAGGCUUGAAUCCGGGAGAGGGAUGUGGAAUUCCAGGUGUAGCGGUGAAAUGCGUAGAUAUCUGGAGGAACACCGGUGGCGAAGGCGGCAUCCUGGACCGACACUGACGCUGAUGAGCGAAAGCCAGGGGAGCAAACGGGG
rnacentral:rRNA from 1 species